CUCCGGGAACGGGGCUAAUACCGGAUGCUUGUUUGAACCGCAUGGUUCAAACAUAAAAGGUGGCUUCGGCUACCACUUACAGAUGGACCCGCGGCGCAUUAGCUAGUUGGUGAGGUAACGGCUCACCAAGGCAACGAUGCGUAGCCGACCUGAGAGGGUGAUCGGCCACACUGGGACUGAGACACGGCCCAGACUCCUACGGGAGGCAGCAGUAGGGAAUCUUCCGCAAUGGACGAAAGUCUGACGGAGCAACGCCGCGUGAGUGAUGAAGGUUUUCGGAUCGUAAAGCUCUGUUGUUAGGGAAGAACAAGUACCGUUCGAAUAGGGCGGUACCUUGACGGUACCUAACCAGAAAGCCACGGCUAACUACGUGCCAGCAGCCGCGGUAAUACGUAAGGUGGCAAGCGUUGUCUUGAAUUAUGGGCGUAAGGGCUCGCAGGCGGUUCUUAAUCUGAUGUGAAACCCCCCGGUUCACCGGGGAGGGCAUUGGAACUGGGGAAUUGAGUGCAAAAAAGAAAUGGAAUCCACGUGUACGGUGAAUGCGUAAAAUGUGG
rnacentral:rRNA from 1 species